UCCCAUGUUUACUUUUUAAAUUCUGAUCCCCUCCUAAUAACCGACAUUGAUCCCUCUAUAAACCUUUAAACCUUUAAACCUUAUAAAAGAAAUCAUUCUUAUCUGUUUCCGUCUCCGGCCGCGUCACCACUCGCCAACGACCACAACCUACCACUAUCAUAUCGACCACCUCCGUGUUCGACGGAUCACCACUGCCGCAUCUUCACCACACGAAUCGUAGUUAGACUUCACCGAAGAAAAGGCUUAGUCAAAACCACCGUCACACUUCUCUGGCAAACAAGCUUCCUCACAACCGCACCACCUUGCCUCCACGAAACAGACCCGCUGCCGCUGCUCAGGUCGAAACAACCAUCAUCCGCCACCACACCUUUUUCACCGAAGUGCACCAACAAUUACUGGCACUCGCUACCAUCUUCGGUUAUUACCGUGGCUAUACCACACCACCGCGACCCAUAACACCAAUCGCAAAAGCCUCCCAAGUUCUAGCCGCGACUCUCACAUGCUCGUUAAUUUGCCGCCGCCUGACUCGUUCUUGCUUUGUCGUGUAUGGCUCCGCUCUAAUAUAUUCUGUUUACCAGAUCUCUUGAGGUAACAUGGGAUGAUCUGGGAUUUCAGUGAGGAUCGUUAGGAAGUUCCUGGUCAAGAAUCUUUAUUUCAGUAAUGUAAUAAAUAUAAUUUGGAUAUUUUAUUUUAUGUUAUGGAUUGGUUUUUAGUUUUGAUAUCUGUAAGAGUGACACGUCAGCCCUUGUAACGCCCAUAAUUUUUCUCUUAAGUUAUUUAAAUAACAACGUACUUUUCUAACGAAA